rnacentral:rRNA from 1 species
UACAGAGGGUGCAAGCGUUAAUCGGAUUUACUGGGCGUAAAGCGAGUGUAGGUGGCCGCGUAAGUCGGUUGUGAAAUCCCUGGGCUCAACCUGGGAAUUGCAGCCGAUACUGCGUGGCUCGAGUUCGGUAGAGGGCAGCAGAAUUCCCGGUGUAGCGGUGAAAUGCGUAGAUAUCUGGAGGAACACCGGUGGCGAAGGCGGCAUCCUGGACCGGUAUUGACGCUGAGGCGCGAAAGCCAGGGGAGCAAACGGG